GCGAUGGAAACCUAGCCGCCUCCUUUCCCCGUCUCAGCUCUCUCUCCCUCGCUUGAUCUCCUCUCCUCCCCUCCCCUCCCCUCCACUGCUCCGGCGGCGGCCAGAUCCACCGCAACAGAGCGCUCCCAACAACGACAACGAGCAGCAGCGGAGGGAGGACGAGGAGCACGAUGGCGGCGGCGGCGGGGAGCAGCAGCAGCAGGCAAGGACGGCGCUGCCCUUCUCCGCCAUGUGCGUGCGGAUCUCCUGCAAUCCCUACCCCGACCUCCGCGCCCUCCGUCGUCGACGGGAGAAGCACAGGUCGCGGCUCACGCCGCUGUUCUGUCGGGGUCACCAUCGCCGAGCCGUCGACAUCGUGUUGUGCGUGCGCUCAGGGAUCUGGUUAGGCUUGUUAAUUUUAGCCUCGACAAGGUUCAGUUGCUGCGGAUUGGUGAGCUAUAAAAGGUACCUCGUGUGGCCUGGUUGAGGUACUAUGCUUGUCAUGGAUUGUUGCCUCACGUGUAUGCUUAACACAUCCUGGGUGUUCAGGAGAAGAGACGAGCACCUGCACCCCGUGGGCUGCUCCAAGGAGCACUAGAGGAUCUACGCCGACUGGUUCGCCAUCACCGACCCAGGUGCGUGUUUCACAAACUUCACGGUUCCCACCACCAGCGCCCCCAAACCGAAGGAUUGGGAGGGGAUGGACGGCGCUUCACUAAUUCUCCAGUGGCCACGUCCCAAACUGUCCCUGCAAAUGGAGACAGGCGCAUCACGGGCGCCAAGGCUACCAAGUUCUUCGCCAUGUCUUGUAGGUUGUUAUCAGUCAUUGGUUGCCUAGAUCCAUCUUACGUGUGGUUGUGUGCAGUCUGCAAGUCCUUUUUUGCUCUUUGAGAGGCGCCACAUACUCAGGGCAUAGAAGGGCUCUUGCACCGGGAGGUAUCAUGGUCUGUAAGGCAAGCAUCAUGGUAUGUACUAUACUUCUCAUGAAAGCUCACAAUAUUAAUCAGUUUGUUGAAGCUAAACAACUAAGCACUUCAAAAUCAUCGAUGUGUAUCUUCGGUUCAUAGUUGUCACGUUUGUUACUGCAAAAGUGAAAGCUACAAAUACAGGAGGUUCUUCUCACGUGAAAGAUUAGUCUCUCUUUUGAUUUAUUUUAAUUACCAUUUAUGUAGAAACCUAAUAAUGUACUGAAUUGAAGAGUUGUACUGCUCCUAUUAGUUUAUCAAGCAGUGGUGUGCAUUGGCAUGUAGUGAUGCUUGAUUUAAGAUGGAAGAAGAACAUAUCAUUUACUUAAGCGGACAAAUAAACAAGUGGAAAGGCGGGCUUUUCUCCUAACUAUUAAACUAUCGCCAAAAGUUCAGUUUUGAUAUAUCAUCUACCGAACUAUCAUUUUCGUGCACCUAUGUUUGUUACCUCCGUUUCUAAACCAAGUGCAUCAGUGUGUUUAGUUGGGAUUAACAUUUUAUUCUGGUGCUUAAAAUGCGUCUGUUUUGGUUCAGUUCUACCAUUAUAGACAUGAUUGAUUUUAUUAAUACACCCUCUUUAUGGCAUGCGCAGUUCAUUCGAUUUGGAUGACAAAAAAAUAUGAGAACGAAAAUAUGCUUCCAAACAAUGAUUCAGAUCCUAAACAGGUGCAUGUACAUACUUUAUUUGUUAGAACCAAAUUGCAUAAAAUCUUAUUGCGUGCACUAGCAAGCAGUUUUUUGAGUCUUUCAAAACAUUUGUCGAUGUACUUAAUCUACUGUAUUAGGUUGUUCAAGCAAUCUAGGAUGUCGACGAGGCAACAACUCAUGCAUUACAGAGGUCUAUAUUUGAGAGGUUUUUAUCCAUGACCAAAGUGGUAAAAUUGAUAAAUCGGAGCCGUGUGAUGCUCUUCUCAGUCUGGGUUAUUCAGUUUCUCCAACUGUGCUAGACUUGCUCGUGUCUAAAUUCGACAGGAUUGCGGACAUGAGCAAAGCAGUCGAAUAUGAUAACUUUGUUGAGUGAAAUUACUCCUUGAAUUUAAUUUGGCUAACUAUUUCAGAUGCACUUGCAGCACUCAUACAUAUUAUUAUGUUAGAGAUUAAGUUGGAGAUCAUAUGCGUCGAGGCUUGAUCAGUUACAAGAGAACUUCUAUUUUAUUUCCACUCAUAUUAGUUUACUGGUCUUAGUUGAGGUGUUAAAUGAUGUAAAUUAGAACUGUGAUGAAAUCAAUCAAUGAUAUAAGUAUGCACCAGUUAAAUUAAUUCAUUGAAGAAAUUAUUGCCGAAAUUUAAUCAGGGCAUAGCUUAGCAACAUUACUACGAUCAGGGGCGGAUCCAGCAUGGCCUUGUACAAAUUUGCUGCAAGUUACUGCCCUGUUGGUUGAAUGGCCUACACCAUAUUGAUAAAUUAUCAUCUAAUUACCUGUAUGUGCCUUGAAUUACCUUUUUUGGCCAUACAAUUUUUGAAGGUUCAAAUAUUUGGAAACCACAUCUCAUUUGCAUUGGAACUGUGGGAUUCUUUGACUGAUCCUGACCAAGUCUGCAUGCCAUCAGUUACAGAAUAUUGGAAACCACUUGCUGAAGAUGCAAGCACUUUAGUUUUUCUUCCAUUUUUAUUUUACACCUCGGAUUCGUUCAUCCUUUUGUUUUAUGUUCAUCAACUGCACAUCUGGAUUUCUCUUGUAGUAAAACACCAUCGAAGCAAACAUGAUCCUCAUUGCAUUGAGGACAAGGAUAGCGGGCUAUGGCUCCUUUUCCCUUUAAUGGCUAUUUUUUAAUAGAUAGUUGUUGAUUUAAGCUCCAGAGAUCCUCAUAUCCUUGUCUGGUUGAGAGAAGGUGGUCUACAAAUUGGUACGGAUGUUAUAGAUUUUUUUUCAUUUCUGCGGAAAUCCCAGAUCAGGUUCUUGGUCCCUUAGAAUAUUACAUGGUUUCUGAAUUUUUGCUACCUCUAUUCUCCUGCAAUUACUUUUGCUUU